UUUCAUUCUGUUUACCAAAUUUUACAACUUAGACCAGAAAAGUGUAAUGGAAAUCAAACCUUACAUUUACAGUUAAUAUCAAUGCUAUUUUCCAGACCAAGAAUAGAUUAUUUGCCCACCAUUAUAAAAGCCCUGAUCUAAUGAAAUAUGCAUAUGCACACAGAGAAGACAGCAAAUCAGCACAGGUUCAACCACUGAUGAUAAUGGAUGUGCACUAGGGCACCCAGCUGUGCACUGGAGAGGCAUCGACACGCAUCCAUCUCGUCUGAUGGUUCAGCUACAAGGACAGGAGCCUUUUCCAGAGCAGGAGGUCUGAAGCAAAUGAUCCUACUCAGUCAUUGCAAUGCUGCAAAUAAAUAAUCAGGAAUCAGGUUAACAUGCAUCCAACUCAUCUGAACUCAUAAAAGCCAGUUCUGAAUAUAAUUCUUCUGCUAAAGGUCAAAUUC
rnacentral:lncRNA from 1 species